UUUUAAAUAUGAAGUUUUUCUUAAAGAGCGUUUUAAAUUUUUGUUUCGUGAAUUAUAUUACUUUGGUUCCUCAUCAUUUUGGAUUCGGGACGCGACUCUCAAAAAAGGGAGAAUAUAGUAUUUGACCUAAAAGAACUGUAUUGAAUCAUAGUUAAGAAUUUAAAACAUAAACAAUAAAGCAAACUGUACUUUUUCCCCGAAAAA